GACGAACGCUGGCGGCGUGCUUAACACAUGCAAGUCGAACGGAAAGGCCCUGCUUUUGUGGGGUGCUCGAGUGGCGAACGGGUGAGUAACACGUGAGUAACCUGCCCUUGACUUUGGGAUAACUUCAGGAAACUGGGGCUAAUACCGGAUAGGAGCUCCUGCAGCAUGGUGGGGGUUGGAAAGAUUCGGCGGUUGGGGAUGGACUCGCGGCUUAUCCGCUUGUUGGUGGGGUAGUGGCUUACCAAGGCUUUGACGGGUAGCCGGCCUGAGAGGGUGACCGGCCACAUUGGGCCUGAGGUACGGCCCAGACUCCUACGGGAGGCAGCGGUGGGGAGUAUUGCGCAAUGGGCGGAAGCCUGAUGCGGCAGCGCCGCGUGCGGGAUGACGGCCUUCGGGUUGUGAACCGCUUUCGCCUGUGACGAAGCGGGAGUGACGGUAAUGGGUAAAGAAGCACCGGCUAACUACGUG
rnacentral:rRNA from 1 species